GGGCAGCAGCGACGACUGGGGCGCUCUGGUAAACCUUAGUCACAGCUGGGGCGGCCUGGUAAGUCACGCGGGAGACAGCUGGAACAGCGUAGGUGGUGACAGCUGGGGCAGACUGGUAGGUGGUGACGCGGGACACGGCUGGAGCAGCGGCGUAGGUAGCGACCGCUGGAGCAGCGUGGUAAGUGGUAGAGACAGCUGGGGCAGCGGCCACAACUGGAGCGGACUGGUAGGUGGUGACGCGGGACACAGCUGGAGCUGCAGCGACGGUGGCGACUGGGGCAGCGGCGUAGGUAGCGACCGCUGGAGCAGCGUGAACAGCGGUCACAGCUGGAGCAGCAUGGUAAGUGGAGACGGUGCGAGA
rnacentral:lncRNA from 1 species